rnacentral:rRNA from 1 species
AGUGAUAUGCUUGUCUCAAAGAUUAAGCCAUGCAUGUGUAAGCACAAAUCAUUUGGUUAAACCGCGAAUGGCUCAUUAUAACAGCCAUAGUUUACUGGAGAUUGCAAGAUUACUUGGAUAACUGUGGUAAUUCUACAGCUAAUACAUGCCUCAAAACUCCAUUUCUAAUGGGGUACUCUUGCUAUCCAAGAAACCGAUCGAGCGUAAGCUCGUUUAUUCGGUGAAUCAGAGCAAUGAAGUUGAUCGCAUGGUCUAUGAACCGGCGACACUUCCUUCAAACGUCUGCCUUAUCAACUUUCGAUGGUAGAUUAUGCGCCUACCAUGGUUUUCACGGGUAACGGGGAAUCAGGGUUCGAUUCCGGAGAGGGAGCCUGAGAAAUGGCUACCACAUCCAAGGAAGGCAGCAGGCACGCAAAUUACCCAAUCCCGGCACGGGGAGGUAGUGACGAAAAAUAACGAGGCAGGCUCCCUAUGGGGUUUGUCAUCGGAAUGAGUACAAUUUAAAUCACUUAACGAGGAUCCAUUGGAGGGCAAGUCUGGUGCCAGCAGCCGCGGUAAUUCCAGCUCCCAUAGCGUAUAUUAAAGUUGCUGCGAUUAAAAAAGCUCGUAGUUGGAGGUGACUGCAAAGCUUGAUCCUUUUUUCAGUUGUCUUGUGAUGCUCUUUAUUGAGUGUCAUGAGAUGCUGAAGCUAUUACCUUGAAAAAAUUGAAGUGCUCAAAGCAGGCGCUUGCCUGAACAUCGCUGCAUGGGAUAAUAAAAUAGGACUUCGGUUCUACUUUGUUGGUUUCCGGAACGCGAAGUAAUGAUGAAUAGGGACAGACGGGGGCAUUCGUACUGCUGCGUUAGAGGUGAAAUUCUUGGAUCGCAGCAAGACGAACUACUGCGAAAGCAUUUGCCAAGAAUGUUCUCAUUAAUCAAGAACGAAAGUUAGAGGUUCGAAGGCGAUCAGAUACCGCCCUAGUUCUAACCGUAAACGAUGCAAGCUAGCGAUCUGCCGGAGUUACAUAUCGGCUCGGCAGGCAGCCUUCGGGAAACCAUUAAGCGUUUCUGUUACGGGGGUAGUAUUAUCUCAAGAUUGGAACUUAAAGACAUUGACGGAAGGGCACCACCAGGAGUGGAGCCUGCGGCUUAAUUUGACUCAACGCGGGAAAACUCACUUGGGCAGGACACUGUGAGGAUUGACAGAUUGAAAGCUCUUUCUUGAUUCGGUGGUUGGUGGUGCAUGGCCGUUCUUAGUUGGUGGAGUGAUUUGUCUGGUUAAUUCCGAUAACGAACGAGACUCUAGCCUACUAACUAGGUGGGAUAUAAAAAGUAUUUCACGCUUCUUAGAGGGACAGGGGGCUCCAGCCCCACGAAAUUGAGCAAUAACAGGUCUGUGAUGCCCUUAGAUGUCCAAGGCUGCACGCGCGCUACAAUGAAAGCGGCAGCAUGUUGUUCCUGGUUUGAUGAAAUCCGGGAAACCAUGUGAAUUGUUUUCCUGCUUGGGAUUGGGGCUUGUAAUUAUUUCCCAUAAACGAGGAAUUCCUAGUAAUAGCGCGUCAUCAUCGCGCUCUGAUUACGUCCCUGCCCUUUGUACACACCGCCCGUCGCUACUACCGAGCGGAAGAUCUAAUGAAAUUAUCCGACUGGGCAUAUAGUUGCGGCAACGUGACUAUGUGCCUGGAAAGAUACUUGAAUUCGACCUUCUCGAGGAAGUAAAAGUCGUAACAAGGUUUCC